GUUUCCCUGCAACUGCGGUAUCGUGCCCUAUGAUCAUGCUCCAGCUCCAAAUGGUGCCCACCAAAUGACAGGCAAUCAGCGCGACAGUAAUAGAUUCGUAUGGGGAAGUUGUAAUAUCGAACCGCUCCUAGCUCGUACCGUGCGAUCGUCCCAUACGAUUCCCAUUGCAUCGGAACGGAUCACCAACAUAGAUCCAAUCGCAAUCGGAUCGCAAUCGGACAACACAAAAGCGUGAAAACAUUAAUACAAAUUUAUGAAGCUGUAAUUGCGGUAAGGACAACGAGAAUCAAAUAGUGUAUUAUGCAACUGGGCUAAUGACGAAGAUGUGUUUUUUAUUGUAAUUAAACGAGCGACCCAAAAAGUGAUAUAAUAAAUCCUUCAUCGGUUCCGAUAAGUGGUGCACAGCUGUCGGCUUAAUUAAGUCAUCAAGCACAGCAGCAGCGCAGCUGAACCUGAGGUGGUGGUUGUUUUUACACAAAAAACCACACCGAAGCGAACGCGAAGCGGGGUGUCCAGCGCGUAAGUUGACCAUCGUGGCAAUAGCAAUAGCGUGGCAAAGAUGUAUAACGAUCGAAAAGUACUCAAGCGAUCAUGAACGAGCAUAAAGCACGAUGCGAACCGGUGGUUAAUUGAUUCAAUGAUCGUGACAUUGUGCUUGAGCCACUUUGGGGUGAGAAGAGAGCCACUGAAGAUGAGCUACUUUGGAGUGAAGUGAAUCGCGACGAUGCAUAAUCGAUUGAUGGACGUGCGUAAAAAUGGAACAAAGAAGUGAGAAUGUAGAAAAAAAGAUCAAAUAACACUUUUAAUCAUUUUCUGAAAAAUGUUUAAAAAUGAAGAUUGUUUUGACAAGGGACUUCGUUAUAUUUUUUAUUAAUAUUAAGCCUUCAAUAUGUACAAAUUUAUGUCAUAAAAAUAGAGAAUUGGCAUAAGAAAUUUCUUUCCUCACACUUCCAUCACGGCGCAAUUUAUCCAACCAAUAAACUUCCCUUUUUUCCAUCAACUAACCCCGGCCAAAGUCCACCGAUUAAAGCCAAUUGCAAUCGCAUUAACCUGAAAUUCAAUCUCCUUCCCUUUCGCCUAAUGCAAAUCAGCAAACCAUCCCUGUUUUAUAGGCUUCACUUCACUUCCUUCCUUCCUAUAGCGCACCGUUUUCCUUUUCCUUACGUUCGCCAUUAGCAGUGAACUUUUCCUCGCCCACACAACGAAAGGAUAUCAAUUUGCAGCGUCCUACCAUUAAACGCUACCACUCAUUUCCUUUUCCCCCUGUCUGGGUGUAUGAUAAAGAUCGUUCCCCGUGCGUAUUUCGCAAAAUCGCUCGCGCGUACUCACACACACACAAACCGUUCAGUAAUGUAGCACAAUGCGGAAGUGUCAAAGUCAAAUAGCAGGCUGGAGGAAAAUGCACUGCGUGGAAACUGGGCAUUCCAUUGGGCUAACGGCUUAGAAACAAUAAGUCACUUGCUGCUGCUGCUGCUGUGGCUUGCCGUCGCUUUCGGAAAGGGAAUCUAAUACGUUCAACCUUUUCUCCGUCUCGCUUUUGCCCGCCCGGUCGACACGCGUGGCGGAAGGUGACUAUUAGGCGCCACCAGCCCAGGUAGGUGGUGGGAUGGUUUAUGGUUGUGCUGACCGGCGGUGCUUGCCAACUUGCCGGACGGAAAAUUGCGGCCGCGGCAAUGCGGAAACCCCUUUUUGCGAAGAAGGGAAGCGAGCGAAGCAAUAAAAGCGAGUGGCAAUUUGAAUGUGGCUUUGAUCCGUAGCACUGGCGAGCCUUUGAAUGUACCGGGGUAUAGCGAGCGGCAUAACGGCAUCAAUCUGCACAAAACCGCAACAAAAACAUUAGAUCUUGACAUUCGCGUGAGCUUUACGUUUCGAUUAUGGUAAUGAAUUUAAACGAUCUUUCGUUCGGGCGAUGGUGCUGCCCGAUAGGUGCUGGGUCCUUCCGUUUUGGCGAGGUAACACAAACCAUAAUUCCGUCGCACGAGAUCUGCAAAACUGUAACAGAGUUGUUUGCAAUUACAAUGCAUUCGUCGAUACAGCGCAACAACGACGACGACGACGAUGAUGAUGAUGAUUUUGACGUAGGCGAAGGGCUACAUUAGUCGGUGCGCCCCCGGAUCGUGAAAGGCCACCACUUGGUGGUCAACCUUUUGCGCAUUUCCUGCGACGCUUUCGUCGUCCCGUUCGGCUCUAAACGGUGGCCGCGCGCGUGUGCUUGGUCCGUUUUGUUGUUUAGGGCGCAAAAACCACCCCGUAUCCGUAUCUGU